UAUUGCACACAUUAACUCUUCAAAGCUCAAGAAAAUGAAAUAUCUAGUAUAUACUAUAUUGUGUCUGUGCAUCAGUGCACUUUGUACAGAAGCUGGCGAUCCGUGUGAGACUACAGAAUGUUCUCCCGGAAAAACUUGCCGUCUUAUGAAGGUUGCCUGUAUUAAAAAGUCUUGUCCACCUGUUGCAAAAUGUGUUUCCGCAAGCCUACAUGCUAUUCAGGACGCCUGUCAAAUAAAUCUACCAAUAAUAGGUACUGACUUCAAACAGUUGUAUUGUGGACUUGGUGCCAGUUUUGGUGUUUGUCCAGAUCAAACUUAUUGUUACGUAG